AUAGUUGGCGCUAGCUUCAUUGCAAAUCCCUAACAGGCUUGCUUCCACAAAACUAAAAAUGUAGGGUUUAAUUUUCACCGUGUUGGGUAUUUGGAUGAAAACAUGUCACGGACAAAAAUAUUAAGACACCUGGAAACGGUUUUAUAUUGUGAAAAGAAUGUGGACUAUCUCAUUUAAGGAGAACUGCUUUGCGUCAUUGUGUGGAAAGUACCUUAAAAUGUGUGCGUAAAAUUUGCCACUAUAUAAAUACAACUGACUAUGACAUUUUAGUGUAUCUAUCUUUUUUGGAUCCAAGAAAGGAAUGGCGAUGAAAACGUAAUCUUUUUGGUCGGCGUCGUAAAUCUUAACAUAAAGCAACAGGUUAUCUGCGUCACGUCUUCUGUUCCUGAUCCGACGAACAGCUGACAGUGCUUAUGGUUGAUUUCCCAGCACCUCCACCAAUCCCUCGUCCCAUCUCGAAACUUUUCUCGCACGCUGUAAAUCUGACUAAUAAGGCCUCAGAGCGCCUGGCGGGCCUGCUUCGUUUCACCGUGAUUAAAUAAGCGCCGCCUCGCCCAGCCGACAAACAACCGGAUGGAAUCCAACUCGCUGCAGGGCUGAGCAAUGAAUGGAUUUUCUCACUAUAUUUCAUGACUUUUCCGACCCCCUCUCGUGACUUGUCUUCCAUGAAAAUGACGAGUGAUUUUAAUUCCUAUUCUAACAUGGCGUCCCGUUUGUGAUUUUUCUUUCUCUGUACUCAUUGCAAGGUCAGCGGCGGGCUACAAACUCUGGACCGGAGGCCGGUUCUGCUUUUCCUCGCCACCGCCGCCUCAUCUCGCAGGCUUCUCCUGCUUGAUACUUGGGGAAAAUGAAUGAUCCCCCCCCUCCCCCCCGAUGCUGUGAUGGCGCUCUGCGGGCCGUGGCUGGUGCAGUAAGAUGUGACCUACAAAAACGUCAGCGAAAGCCUCCCCCAACAUCUGAAGUUUAUUCGGGCCUGACCCCAGCGGAUGGCCCGAGAGAGGGAUUAGGACCUGAUUCGCCUAAUUAGCCCCACGACCCCUUCACCAAUGCUCCCCCCCAACCCUCCUCUGCACACCACCCGUGACUCGCUCACUUCAUUAGCGACGCCUGCCCUCGUCACAAAAAUGGGAAGAAUAG